rfam:Nomascus leucogenys chromosome 3, whole genome shotgun sequence.
GGAUGUGAGGGUGAUCUGGCUGCAACAUCUGUCACCCCAUUGAUCUCCAGGGUUGAUUCGGCCAAUCGAACUGGAUAGGCAGGUGUCCCCUUCCUCCCUCACUGCUCUAUGUGCAUCCCUCCCGAAGCUGUGUGCUCCAAGAGGAAGACCAUCCCUGAUAGAGGAGGACCAAUCUUCAGUCAAGGGUAUAUGAGUAGCUAUGCUCCCCUGCUAGAACCUCCAAACAAGCUCUCAAGAAAAGGCUCAGGUAUAAAUGCAGUGGCUAAAGGCCAAGGGCCAGAGAGCUUUUUCCUGCCAGCUGCUGCUGCUCAAU